rfam:Oryza nivara chromosome 11, whole genome shotgun sequence.
AAUAAGUUUUCGUGUUCAAUAUUUAACCGUAUGUCUUAUUUGAAAAAUUUGUAAAAAAAUUUUAAAAGCUAAGUCACGUAUAAAGUACUAUUCAUAUUUUAUCAUCUAAUAACAACAAAAAUAAUAAUCAUAAAAAUAUUUUAAAUAAGAUGGAUGAUUAAAAUUAGGUACUAAAACCCAUAACUGCGCUUAUU